rnacentral:rRNA from 1 species
ACGCUCGACACCUACGGUAGGCAGCAGUGGGGAAUAUUGCACAAUGGGGGAAACCCUGAUGCAGCGACGCCGCGUGGAGGAAGAAGGUCUUCGGAUUGUAAACUCCUGUUGUUGGGGAAAAAGAGGAUGGUACCCAACAAGGAAGUGACGGCUAACUACGUGCCAGCAGCCGCGGUAAUCUGAGCGGGCUGGCAAGGC